rnacentral:rRNA from 1 species
AUUGAACGCUGGCGGCAUGCCUUACACAUGCAAGUCGAACGGCAGCACGGGUGCUUGCACCUGGUGGCGAGUGGCGAACGGGUGAGUAAUACAUCGGAACGUACCUUAUCGUGGGGGAUAACGCAGCGAGAGCUGUGCUAAUACCGCAUACGCCCUGAGGGGGAAAGCGGGGGAUCGCAAGACCUCGCGCGAUUAGAGCGGCCGAUGCCUGAUUAGCUAGUUGGUGGGGUAAAAGCCCACCAAGGCGACGAUCAGUAGCUGGUCUGAGAGGACGAUCAGCCACACUGGGACUGAGACACGGCCCAGACUCCUACGGGAGGCAGCAGUGGGGAAUUUUGGACAAUGGGGGCAACCCUGAUCCAGCAAUGCCGCGUGAGUGAAGAAGGCCUUCGGGUUGUAAGGCUCUUUUGUCAGGGAAGAAACACCGGCUCUAACACAGUCCGGGAAUGACGGUACCUGAAGAAUAAGCACCGGCUAACUACGUGCCAGCAGCCGCCGUAA